GACGAACGCUGGCGGCGUGCCUAAUACAUGCAAGUCGAGCGGAGUUGAUGAGGUGCUUGCACCUCUGAAGCUUAGCGGCGGACGGGUGAGUAACACGUAGGUAACCUGCCUGUAAGACUGGGAUAACCCACGGAAACGUGAGCUAAUACCAGAUAGGCGAGACUCCCGCAUGGGAGAUUCGAGAAAGGCGGAGCAAUCUGCCACUUACCGAUGGACCUGCGGCGCAUUAGCUAGUUGGUAGGGUAACGGCCUACCAAGGCGACGAUGCGUAGCCGACCUGAGAGGGUGAUCGGCCACACUGGGACUGAGACACGGCCCAGACUCCUACGGGAGGCAGCAGUAGGGAAUCUUCCGCAAUGGGCGAAAGCCUGACGGAGCAACGCCGCGUGAGUGAUGAAGGCCUUCGGGUCGUAAAGCUCUGUUGCCAAGGAAGAACAGCCAAGAGAGUAACUGCUCUUGGAAUGACGGUACUUGAGAAGAAAGCCCCGGCUAACUACGUGCCAGCAGCCGCCGUAAGAC
rnacentral:rRNA from 1 species